UGUGUAUCAGUACAUGGCAUAUCAAUAAGCGGAGGAAAAGAAACUAACAAGGAUUCCCUUAGUAACGGCGAGUGAAGCGGGAAGAGCUCAAAUUUGAAAUCUUCAAGGUUCUACCUUGACGAAUUGUAGUUUAUAGAAGUGUUUUCUGUUAGUGGAGUGGCAAAAGUUCUUUGGAAUAGGACAUCAUAGAGGGUGAGAAUCCCGUAUUUUGGUCAUUCCUCCUAGCGUUGUGAUACACUUUCAACGAGUCGGAUUGUUUGGGAAUGCAGUCCAAAAUGGGUGGUAAAUUUCAUCUAAAGCUAAAUAUUGGCGAGAGACCGAUAGCGAACAAGUACCGUGAGGGAAAGAUGAAAAGAACUUUGAAAAGAGAGUUAAACAGUACGUGAAAUUGUCAAAAGGGAAGCGUUUGACACCAGUGUUGUUUUUCCGAGAAUCAAUUACGAAUGUUUUGUUUUUAAGGAGUUAUGACUUCAUCGGCUUGCUCCUUUCUUUAUGAAACUUUCUUAAUGCACUUUUCGGUUAACAAGUCAACAUCAAUUUCUUUUGUUGUAAAAGGGUAUGAGGAAGGUGGCUUUCUUUUCGGAGAAAGUGUUUAUAGCCUUGUGCCUCUGCAAUCGGAGAGAUUGAGGUCUGCAGCGUAGAUCCUUCGGGGUUAGAUACGUUUGUGCUAAGUUAUAGCUUUUCAUAGACAACUUGUUGACUAUGUUUAAGUCUUGUGAGCUUACUCGCUUACGCUAUUUUACCUACGCUUAGGAUGUUGACAGCAGUAUAGACUGU
rnacentral:rRNA from 1 species